rnacentral:piRNA from 1 species
UGCAAGGGUGGCCUCUCCUUUUCUGAGGA